rnacentral:lncRNA from 1 species
CAACUGGCCCUUCCGCAGACGCGGGCUAGCGGGCUGGAGAGAAGGUCCACCCAGGGCAUGGAGUAGGUGGCCACUCGCUGUUGGCGUCCAGCUCAUGCCGAAUUUUGAAAAUCCAGGGUACAGAAGGACUGAUGGUAAAAAAACAGAGAGUAGGGACUGUUAUGUCAGCGCUUGUCACCAUUUAAAACGUCAGCAGUGUUACACAAAGACAGUGGAGGUGUGUCUGCAAGAGCCGCAGCUCAGGUCCAGAGGAAUCCUUAUGGCUCAAGGGGCAAUCAGUCCCCAUGAGAUGACGUUCCUUACUCGGCAGGGACACUGCCUUUAUUUUCAUCAUGGGAAGAUCACAAGAAGGCGAGUAUAUGCCAACCAAGAUGC